rnacentral:rRNA from 1 species
UAAAGAAUUUCGGUCAUCGAUGGGGAUGCGUUCCAUUAGCUUGUUGGCGGGGUAACGGCCCACCAAGGCAUCGAUGGAUAGGGGUUCUGAGAGGAAGGUCCCCCACAUUGGAACUGAGACACGGUCCAAACUCCUACGGGAGGCAGCAGUGAGGAAUAUUGGUCAAUGGGCGCUAGCCUGAACCAGCCAAGUAGCGUGAAGGAUGACUGCCCUAUGGGUUGUAAACUUCUUUUAUAUGGGAAUAAAGUGCAGUAUGUAUACUGCUUUGCAUGUACCUUAUGAAUAAGGAUCGGCUAACUCCGUGCCAGCAGCCGCGGUAAUACGGAGGAUCCGAGCGUUAUCCGGAUUUAUUGGGUUUAAAGGGAGCGUAGGCGGGUUGUUAAGUCAGUUGUGAAAGUUUGCGGCUCAACCGUAAAAUUGCAGUUGAUACUGGCAUCCUUGAGUACAGUAGAGGUAGGCGGAAUUCGUGGUGUAGCGGUGAAAUGCUUAGAUAUCACGAAGAACUCCGAUUGCGAAGGCAGCCUGCUGGACUGUAACUGACGCUGAUGCUCGAAAGUGUGGGUAUCAAACAGGAUUAGAUACCCUGGUAGUCCACACAGUAAACAAUGAAUACUCGCUGUUUGCGAUAUAAGUAA